AACGAACGCUGGCGGCAUGCCUAACACAUGCAAGUCGAACGAGACCUUCGGGUCUAGUGGCGCACGGGUGCGUAACGCGUGGGAAUCUGCCCUUGGGUUCGGAAUAACUCAGAGAAAUUUGAGCUAAUACCGGAUGAUGACGUAAGUCCAAAGAUUUAUCGCCCAAGGAUGAGCCCGCGUAAGAUUAGCUUGUUGGUAGGGUAAUGGCCUACCAAGGCGACGAUCUUUAGCUGGUCUGAGAGGAUGAUCAGCCACACUGGGACUGAGACACGGCCCAGACUCCUACGGGAGGCAGCAGUGGGGGAAUAUUGGACAAUGGGCGAAAGACUCGAUCCACGCAAUAGCCGCCGUG
rnacentral:rRNA from 1 species